UCCGUCCGGCAACGCCAGACUCAGCCCAACUGGGGCACCGGCCACUUCCAAUCUCUCAGAUCCGUGGCCUGAGCGCUGCCGCCACCGGUAAAUGGAGGCACAGGACUGCGAACAAGAGACCACCGCUCGGCGAAAUGGCGGUGCCAGGAGCCUGGGAAGGAAUGCAGCCAGCGACGUUGUCAGGUACAACAUUCGUUUUGGCGCAACCAACGGUGCUGUCACCAAGGAACCGUCGACUCUGAGAAAAAAAGAGAAGUUCGGCCACCGAGAAACUCCGUUCAACAAGUGCUGUGAAGGCAAAACCGCUGGCACCGCGCUGCUGGCGAAAGAGUAAAUGGAAACUCUGGGUGCUGCGACCGCGACCCCGGCACUAGAGGGCCUCGGCUGGAGAAAGCCCCGCACGGAGACAAGGAAACUGUGCACAGCACAGCUAGCAGUUGACAGAAACAGAAAAGUGUCUGCUCUGGUCUCUGUGACAAAGCGCAGAUCAAAACGAGCAACUCAGUGGAGGGAACCCCGCAGCCACUGAAGAAGUUACCCGCGUGACUGUGGGGCCAGAGUAACACCGCGAUUUCGACGACAGCCUUGGGGAUACGACAGAGAAACAUUGGCGGCCACAGAAGUACCAUCCAGCUCCGCGCAACCAGUGGUUCUGCGAUUCAGAAACCACUGUCAGCUGGACUCGACUAGAAACUUCUGAAAAACUGUCGUCUCAUAACAGCUUUCCUACCCAUGACAGAGAGUCGCCUUUGGAGGGCACCUAACGGUGCUGAGACCGGCCUGGGCCAGCACAAAGCGCAGAGCGGUGCCCGUGCCAAGAAACGCCAGACUUGGUGAAACCAACCUUGCGACCACCGAGUCCACUGGCUUCGCAGGACGCAAUGGGCAAAGGCGCAGCGGAGAAACCGCGGGCUCGGUUCACCGAUUAUGCUGCUGGCGGGUGAUGGUGGGGUGGGGCACCCGCAAAGUUGUGAAACCAGCGGCGCUGGGACCCUGCGAUUACCUGCCCCUCUGUCAGCGUUAUCGAAUGCUCUCUGACUGCAACCUUCCUUCCGCCAAAAGCUGCAAAAGACAACUUUUGGCGGAAGGAAGGUUGCAGUCAGAGAGCAUCCGAUAACGCUGACAAAGGAGUGGCGUUGGCAGUGAGAAACCGCUGGCGCUGGGAAAGGAACGGUGCAGCGACCGACCAACCGCGCGCUCGGUGCCUCCAAAAUGCUACCGGUUCUACCCACUCUGUCCCCCACAGGCUUAGGGAAGUCUGUUGUCCUUUUCUUUUUUCUUCUCUGGCCUACGCUGGUGCAGUGGUGUCAUCUUGGCUCAGUGCAGCCUCGACUUCCUGGGAUCCAGCGAUCCUCCUGCCUCAGCCUCUAGAGUAGCCGAGACCACAGGUGAGUGCUACCACCCCCGUCUAAUUCGUGUGUGUGUAUAUGUGUGUGUGUGUGUGUGUGUGUGUGUGUGUGUGUGUG